GGUCAGAACAAACGCUGGCGGCGUGCCUAACACAUGCAAGUCGAACGCGAAAAUCGGCUUCGGCCGAUGAGUAAAGUGGCGCACGGGUGAGUAACGCGUGGAUAAUCUACCCUUCAGUUGGGAAUAACUUAUCGAAAGGUGAGCUAAUACCGAAUAAAACUGCCUGACCACGGUCGGGUAGUCAAAAGAUAGCCUCUGCUUGCAAGCUUUCGCUGAAUGAUGAGUCCGCGUACCAUUAGCUAGUUGGUGGGGUAAUGGCCUACCAAGGCGACGAUGGUUAGCUGGUCUGAGAGGAUGAUCAGCCACACUGGAACUGAGACACGGUCCAGACUCCUACGGGAGGCAGCAGUGAGGAAUCUUGCGCAAUGGGGGAAACCCUGACGCAGCAACGCCGCGUGAGUGAGGAAGGUCUUCGGAUCGUAAAGCUCUGUCGGGUGGAAAGAAAUGUAUGGGGUUAAUAGCCUUCAUACUUGACGGUACCACCAAAGGAAGCACCGGCUAACUCCGUGCCAGCCGCAGC
rnacentral:rRNA from 1 species